UGCAGAGUUGAUUCAGGCGGAACUCAGCAGGCUGAAGAACAAGGGAAGUGAGAACUGAUGCCUUGUGUUGUGGUGAAAAUAUCCCGAAUCUUGGACGGAGAGACCUGAGUUCAAUUCGCAGCUGGUGCAGCAACAAAAGCCACGAAGCAGUGCGCAUGCUCCACCCAACAACGGUACCAGGAUAAUUGAUGUCAGCGGCGGACCAAUGGAAGGACAGGGGCGGGGCUGGAGGACCUGCGGGGCGGUUGGCCCUCCGACCAAUCAGUGAAUGAGAGGCGGGACCUGAUUAUACCACGUGAUCGUCCUCGCGGACAGCGCGGCUGUGCGGGUGGAGAGCUGUCGCUACCACUUUCUCUGGAAGUUCAUUCCACACAGGCUCGUGUGUUAUAGUGACAGGCAGCUGGAAGCUCGGGCUGUGUUUUUGCAGCAGAACGUAGAUCAUCAGUCGCCAUUUCCGCCACCUCCACUGAGAUGCUGCCAGACACAGGUUCCCGUCCCCUCCAUUAACAGCUAUGCACCCUCCCCAGCCAGGAUAUUAAAUCAGAAUAAUUGAGGCUAGGAACUCAAAAGCAAGUUUUUACAGUCAAUGGAGUCAUCGGGAUCUGAAUAUCAUUUGCAUUUGACUGUGGACGGAGAAAGGAUGAGGCUGUCACUGGCUCGGCCAGCAUUUAUUGCUGCGUUUACCCAGUGGGCAGUUAAGAAUCAACCACGUUGCUAUAGGUCUGGAGUCCCAUGCAAACCAGACCAGAUCCCAGUGAUCAGUGCCAAAGCCCCAUUGCCUGUGGAGAGGGUGAUGUUUGAUUUCCCUGUCCAGCUGCAGUUCAUGUGGUGAAGGUGCUCCCACAAUGUGGUUGGAUAACAAGACCGAUGCUGUUUCCAAUCAUGAUCAGAAACAAACCUCAGAAUACACAUGGUUCAUAGAUGGAUGUCAAUAGCCCAUCAACAUCCAACUCCUGCAAUUAUUCAGCAAAUGUAUGUGUGAUUAACCAGUCCUGAUGUCAGUCCUGAUGUACCAGAAAAUCGCUGUUUACUCUGUGCAGAUGGGCAGUGAUGUGGGGAAGUAUUGGCCGAGUGAUAUUGUCGCUGGACAGUUAGUCCAAAGCCCCAGAUAAACUUCUGGAGACCUGAGUUCAAAGCCUACUGCUGCAGAUGGGUGAAUUUGAAUUAAAUUUUUAAAAACUCGGGAAUUUAAGAGUCUCAUGAUGACCAUUAAUCGAUUUUCCGAAAAACCCAUCUGGAUCACUAAUGCCCUUUCAGGAAGGAAGCUGCCAUCCUUACCUGGUCUGGCCUACAUUGUGACUUCAGACCCACAACAAUGUGGUCGACUCUUACCUGCCCCUGGGCAAUUAGGGAUGGGCAGGAAAUGCUGCCGGGCCAGCGACACCCUCAUCUUGUGAAUGAAUAAAGGAAAAUAAAAGUCUCUACCCAGUG